AAGCUUAACCGCGUUUAAGUAUCCCCCCCUGUGGGGAGUACCGCACCCCAAAGUGUGAAACUCAAAAGGAAUUGACGGGGGCCCCCACAAGCGGUGGAGGAUGUGGUUCUAAUUCGAUGCAACGCGAAAGAACCUUACCCAAGGCCUUGACAUGUCGCGAAUCUUUUCAGAGAUGAGAGAGUGCCUUCCGGAGCGCGAACACAGGUGGUGCAUGGGUGUCGUCAGCUCGUGUCGUGAGAUGUUGGGUUAACUCCCGCAACGAGCGCAACCCUCGUUUUUAGUUGCCAUCAUUAAGUUGGGCACUCUAGAGAGACUGCCGUGGACAACACGGAGGAAGGUGGGGACGACGUCAAGUCAUCAUGCCCCUUACGUCUUGGGCUACACACGUCCUACAAUGCUACGGACAGAGGGCAGCAAGCCAGCGAUGGUUAGCAAAUCCCAUAAACCGUGGCUCAGGUUCCAGAUUGCAGGCUGCAAAUCGCCUGCACGAAGGCGGAAUCGCUAGUAAUCGCAGGUCAGCAUACUGCGGUGAAUACGUUCCCGGGCGUUGUACACACCGCCCGUCACACCUGGGAGUUGGCCACGCCCGUAGUCGUCCC
rnacentral:rRNA from 1 species